UGGCUCAGAAUGAACGCUGGCGGCAUGGAUUAGGCAUGCAAGUCGAACGAGAAAGCGGUUCGGCCGCGAGUAAAGUGGCGAAAGGGUGAGUAACACGUGAGGAACCGCCCCCCAGUCCGGAACAAUCCUGUGAAAAACGGGCCUGAAACCGGAUGCCGGCCCGCCCCGCAUGGGGCGGCGCCGAAACAUUUAUGGCUGGAGGAUGGCCUCGCGCCCCAUUAGCUUGUUGGCGGGUAACGGCCCACCAAGGCGACGACGGGUAGGUGGUCUGAGAGGAUGGUCACCCACACUGGGACUGAGACACUGCCCAGACUCCUACGGGAGGCUGCAGUCGAGAAUCUUCCGCAAUGGGCGCAAGCCUGAACCGGAGCGAUGCCGCGUGAGGGAAGUAGGCCUUCGGGUCGUGAACCUCUGUCGACGGGGACGAACGCAAUGACGGUACCCGUCAAGAAAGCCACGGCUAACCACGUGCCAGCAGCAGC
rnacentral:rRNA from 1 species